UUUUGAGAUUGGAAAGCUUCGAAAUGUUGGAUGACAAUGGUCCUAGGAAUGAAUUAUUAUAGAGAUUCAAGGCCUCAAGCUUUCCCAGAUUGGUAUAGACCAAUUCUGGUAUUUGGCCUGUGAAUUUAUUGAGUGACAAAUCCAGAAACGUCAAGUUCCGGCAAUUGGUUAUAAAAUGGGGGAAUUCUGCAGUAAGUUCAUUGAGAAAAAAACUAAGAUAUUCCAAAGAAGGCAUGGAAAACUUGGACCAGUCAGGGUUUUCGAGGUAGUUUGCUCCAAGGUCCAAGUGUCUUACCUUGGGAAGAUUUGCAAGUUGAAAGGGGAUGAUACCGUUGAGAUUGUUGUUGUAAAGACUAAGAUACUGAAGCUCUGUCAACUGAGAUAUCUCCACAGGUAUGCUGCCCUCGAAGAAGUUGACACUGAGGUCCAAGUGAGUGAGCUUGGAGAGGCUGCCAAUGGCUGAUGGUAUCGUUCCAUUGACAUUGUUACUCUGGAUGUCAAACCUGGUGAGAUCAGUAAAUGGGGUGAAGUUGAAAUGGGCGAGUGUUCCAGUUAUGUUUAGGCUGC